AGUGAACGCUGGCGGUAGGCCUAACACAUGCAAGUCGAACGGCAGCACAGUAAGAGCUUGCUCUUACGGGUGGCGAGUGGCGGACGGGUGAGGAAUACAUCGGAAUCUACUUUUUCGUGGGGGAUAACGUAGGGAAACUUACGCUAAUACCGCAUACGACCUACGGGUGAAAGCAGGGGAUCUUCGGACCUUGCGCGAUUGAAUGAGCCGAUGUCGGAUUAGCUAGUUGGCGGGGUAAAGGCCCACCAAGGCGACGAUCCGUAGCUGGUCUGAGAGGAUGAACAGGCAAAAUGGAAAGUGGACAAGGUCCAGACUCCUACGGGAGGCAGCAGUGGGGAAUAUUGGACAAUGGGCGCAAGCCUGAUCCAGCCAUACCGCGUGGGUGAAGAAGGCCUUCGGGUUGUAAAGCCCUUUUGUUGGGAAAGAAAAGCAGCAGGUUAAUACCCCGCUGUUCUGACGGUACCCAAAGAAUAAGCACCGGCUAACUUCGUG
rnacentral:rRNA from 1 species